GGUUCCCCCCCUCCUUGGAGAUACAUCAGGCACAGGCAAACUUGGGCCGCCAGGUGUUUUGGACUUCAACUCCCACAAUUCCUAACAACCGAUAAAGUUUGGCAAUAAACAAAACCAAACAAGAGAGUUAAAAGAAAUAAACUGACAGGAACAACCAAGAAGAACUUUUAAGAAGAAAAGAAGAAGAGAAGAAAUAUGGAACAAAACAGAAAUAUAAGAAGGUUCAGGAAGGUUUCUAAGACACCCUGGAGAACUAAAUGAUACAACAGAAAUCUUUGAAAACCCAGCCAACAUUCCAACACAUUCCCCCAAAUGAAGAAGAGACUUUCUACCAAUUAGAACUAUAACGCUAUGUAACAAAAUUUGGGGAAAAAAAUCUGUCCCUGGUUUGAAAGUGUUCUUAUACUGCAGAAACUUUGUUUUCGUGACUG